rnacentral:rRNA from 1 species
UACGUAGGGGGCAAGCGUUGUCCGGAAUUAUUGGGCGUAAAGAGCUCGUAGGCGGUCUGUCGCGUCUGCUGUGAAAACCCGAGGCUCAACCUCGGGCCUGCAGUGGGUACGGGCAGACUAGAGUGCGGUAGGGGAGAUUGGAAUUCCUGGUGUAGCGGUGGAAUGCGCAGAUAUCAGGAGGAACACCGAUGGCGAAGGCAGAUCUCUGGGCCGUAACUGACGCUGAGGAGCGAAAGCGUGGGGAGCGAACAGG